GAUGAACGCUGGCGGCGUGCCUAAUACAUGCAAGUCGAGCGAACAGAUGAGGAGCUUGCUCCUCUGACGUUAGCGGCGGACGGGUGAGUAACACGUGGAUAACCUACCUAUAAGACUGGGGUAACUUCGGGAAACCGGAGCUAAUACCGGAUAAUAUAUUGAACCGCAUGGUUCAAUAGUGAAAGACGGUUUUGCUGUCACUUAUAGAUGGAUCCGCGCCGCAUUAGCUAGUUGGUAAGGUAACGGCUUACCAAGGCAACGAUGCGUAGCCGACCUGAGAGGGUGAUCGGCCACACUGGAACUGAGACACGGUCCAGACUCCUACGGGAGGCAGCAAUAGGGAAUCUUCCGCAAUGGGCGAAAGCCUGACGGAGCAACGCCGCGUGAGUGAUGAAGGUCUUCGGAUCGUAAAACUCUGUUAUUAGGGAAGAACAAAUGUGUAAGUAACUAUGCACGUCUUGACGGUACCUAAUCAGAAAGCCACGGCUAACUACGUG
rnacentral:rRNA from 1 species